GACGCACCGUGCGAACGUUGUUCGGAAUCACUGGGCUUAAAGGGCGCGUAGGCGGGCCAUCAAGUCAGGGGUGAAAUACCUCAGCUUAACUGAGGAACAGCUUUUGAUACUGGUGGCCUCGAGGGGGGUAGGGGCAUGCGGGAACUUCCGGUGGAGCGGUGAAAUGCGUAGAUAUCGGAAGGAACGCCGGUGGCGAAAGCGGCGUGCUGGACCCUUUCUGACGCUGAGGCGCGAAAGCCAGGGGAGCAAACGGG
rnacentral:rRNA from 1 species